UACGUAGGCAGCGAGCGUUGUUCGGAUUUACUGGGCGUAAAGCGUGCGUAGGCGGUGUUCCAAGUCUGUUGUGAAAUCUCCCGGCUUAACCGGGAGGGUGCGGCGGAAACUGGGAUGCUGGAGUGCGGGAGAGGUAAGCGGAAUUCCCGGUGUAGCGGUGAAAUGCGUAGAUAUCGGGAAGAACACCCGUGGCGAAGGCGGCUCUCUGGGACGGUACUGACGCUGAGACGCGAAAGCGUGGGGAGCGAACAGG
rnacentral:rRNA from 1 species